AAUAUCUAAUUAUAUAUGAAAAACCGUGAUUUUCACGGUUGACUGCGGCGUACAAGUUUUACCCCCUUGAAAUACACAAUAUCGACAAUUUCUAAAUCAUUAGAUAAUAAAAAAUAAAUCUAUAAAUUCCACAUUUAGACAAUAAUGUUUGAAAUUACCUACCACCUGAAGUAUCCGUGUAUUGACUAUUAUCGAGAAAAAUGUAAGAAAAUGUGUCAAAUCUCUAGAAUAACGGCAUAUAUUUCCACUUUUUGUUUUAUCAAUUUGAGGAAAAGUUUAAGAGCCCAUCUCAUACUAUUUACACUGACGGAACCGUGCCCACGAGGUAAAACAGGAAGAGUUAUUCCCCUUUUCCGUACAGGGGUUAUGUCGGUCAUGACAGUUCCCGUUCCCAAUUCCAAGGCGGCACAACGAAUUGUCCCUCUUCUCUCGCGGCAACAGCACAGGCCGGUCGGCAAGAAUUUCCCACUAGUUUGGAAAGACAUGUAAAGUCGCUUCCAUGGUGGCAGCUUAUAAAGUGAAGGCCUAAGAUGAAACACUGAACUGAGGACACUUUUUUUCAGCCAUUUUGCAAGUAAAGAUGAAGUAAGCGGCAUGUCAAAACCAAGUUCCCCUCAACAGGCAGAUAUGGACGCGUCUUUUAGAACACGUUCAGUCAAAUGUGUCAAUCGAGUUUGUUAUGGACAACAAGGAAAAGAAAUUUCUAUAAAGCAGCCUCCCAUUAAUGUAGCUAAAGUUGCUGUAACUCUUGUACCUGUAUAUUUGGUGCUUCAUUGCCUCUACAGAUGUGUAAAGUUUAAGUCUUUGGUCGAUGAACUCCUUCCUGGCGACCUCACCUCAAAGAUUUUUGUUGCUGCUUUAGGUGUUUGUGCGGCAGCAGCUUUGACUACAGUCAUCUUCGGUUGUCAGAUUCAGUCAGAGUCCCUGGUUUUUAUAUCAUCUGUUGGAGUUAAUGUGAAAAUGAAGAACUGGUUUGGACAAGUAACUGCAGAGUUUUUUGAGAUCAACGAAAUCAAAGACAUAGUUAUCCUUGAAGCUAUCACCAUGACCCAUCAUUCCAGCUUCCAUAUUUAUGUCAAGGCUGAUGAAAAAUUUUCAGUAUUGAUUUUGAAAUGAUACCAAAAAGUGGUAUGUUACCUUGCUGUUGUUUUAGAAGAAGGAGGUAGCAGCAGUGAGCGGCUAUACCCACUGUUUAUGAAGUCAAGUCCAGACCUAGAAACCCUGAAGGUCAUAUACAGAGAUGUUCAUCAACUGUUACAGGAAAACAGUUCUAGCUAAAAACACACAACUGUUACAGGGAAACAGUUUUAGCAGACACCACUGCUAAAUGUUGUCACUUGAGAGAAAGUGGGAGGAAUAUUCGUUAUUUAUGUGUGUUAUACAAUCAUACCUCCACACAGUGUCAUAAUAUAUAUAGAGAAAAAUAAGGGAAGCAACAAAGACAAUUUUACAUUCCUGCUGGAUGUGUUUUAAAAACAAAUAAAAUAAUAGAAAAUCUGUGCCAUUACUACAGACAGAAUGAUGUAUAAUAAGUGUUGUGUAUAUGGAGUAAAGCCAAUCGUUGAUGUGUAUAUAGACAUGAUUGUAAUUUUAUGCCUGGACAUGAACCAAAGGUAAUUUUCCUAACUGACACCGGAGACCUAUGUAGUAUAUAGGCUGAUACACACCACCUUCUCGGUGUAGAGCUCUAGGACAUGGUUGAUUGAUGUGGGUUGCAUCAUUUCUUAUUUUAAAGAGCUGCAUUAGAAAAUCCAGUCAGUUCUAUUGAUAGAGCUUACCUUUGGGUUUCCCUAUCCAUACAAGUAAAUGCUAGUUGUGUAGUGUUUAUAGAGCUGAGGUGUUGGUUGAUGUGUACUAUUGAUAGAUCUGAGAUGUAGGUUUAUCCAAGACCAUGUAAAUUAUACAUGUCUACGAUUGACAGAGCUAAGGUUUUGGAUUCUGUUAUUUUUGUUCAUUUGCCUUAAAAAUCAAGGUAUGAAAUAUUACCAUUGUUUCUGCAGCUGCCUGUGUGCCAUCACUUUAUUUUAAAGUCUGUGUAAAUCAUGAAAGAGCUCUCUGAUACUGAAAAAGUUAGCAGAGUCUAAAACUUGCACUUCUCUCAGCUGGACUGUAUUUUAGAGGACCUUUCAUUGAUACUAAUUAGCUCUCUCUUGUAAAAGACUGUAAAUUUGAGAGGAGCUUUCUGAAAUGAAAUCCAGUAGAGUUGUCUGUAAGACUAAACUUGAGAGCUCUGAGACAGUUAAUCUUGGAGCUCUUUAUGAGAUUCAAUCUUUGAGCUCUCUCUGAGACAGUCAAUAUUAGACUACACGUGAAGGAGCUCUCUCUGAGACAGUCAGUAUUAGACUACACAUAAAGGAGCUCUCUCUGAGACAGUCAAUAUUAGACUACACGUGAAGGAGCUCUCUCUGAGACAGUCAAUAUUAGACUACAUGUAUGGGAGCUCUCCCUGAGACAGUCAGUAUUAGACUACAUGUAUGGGAGCUCUCUCUGAGACGGUCAAUAUUAGACUACAUGUAUGGGAGCUCUCUCUGAGACAGUCAGUAUUAGACUACAUGUUUGGAGCACUCUAUCUGUCUCUCUUUCUGAGAUUAUGUUAAUCUUCAAGAAGCUUUUUGUGAAACUAAUAAAAGCUCUCUCCAAGACAGAGAAAAGCUCUCUUAAACAUAAUAGCUCUCUGAGACUAAGACGAGCUCUCUCUGAGAGAGUCAAUAUAAGACUAUGUAGGGAGCUCUCUCUUAACUGUAAUAGCUCUUACUCUCUCUGAGAUUGUAAAUCUUUGAAAAAGCUCUCUCUGAGACUGUAAAUAUUAGGCUUUAUGUGAAGGAGCUCUCUACGAGAUAAAAUCUUGGAGAAGCUCUCCCUGAUCAAUAAGAGCUCUCUAUAUGAUACUGUAAGAAAAAGCUCUCUCAGAGACUGUAAAUAUUUGAGCUCUUUAUCUGUCACUUUGAGACGAUGUAAAUCUUCAAGAUGCUUUCUCUGAGAUUAAGAAAAGUUCUUUCUGAACUAUAAGAGCUCUCCAAGAAUGUAAGAAAAGCACUCUUGAGAUUGCAAGAACAGCUCUUUCUGAACUAUAAGAGCUCUCUGAGAUUGUAAGAAAAACUGUUUCUGAACUAGAAGAGCUCUUCAAGAAUGUAAGAAAAGCUCUCCGAGACAGUCGAUAGUAGUAUAUGUGCAGCAGCUCUCUCUGAGACCAAAUCUAAGACAAGCUCUGAAUUAUAAGAGCUUUCACUCUCUCUCGCUCCAAAAAUGUAAAUCUGAGAAAAACUCUCUCGGACACGGUCUAUAUUUAAGAUCGUACAUUUCAUUAAGAAGCAAAUCUCUGUAAAUAAGAAUUUAGAUUUGUAUUUUGCUAUCUUGCGAACAUAAAUCUAGUGCUUUUUCUAAGUUAAUUGUUGGUCUUCAUGUGUAUACACUUGUUAUCUUUUUUAAUGGAAUAAAAGAAAGAAUUGAA
rnacentral:misc_RNA from 1 species